UAUGAAGUUAGCGGCGGACGGGUGAGUAACACGUGGGUAACCUGCCCAUAAGACUGGGAUAACUCCGGGAAACCGGGGCUAAUACCGGAUAACAUUUUGAACCGCAUGGUUCGAAAUUGAAAGGCGGCUUCGGCUGUCACUUAUGGAUGGACCCGCGUCGCAUUAGCUAGUUGGUGAGGUAACGGCUCACCAAGGCAACGAUGCGUAGCCGACCUGAGAGGGUGAUCGGCCACACUGGGACUGAGACACGGCCCAGACUCCUACGGGAGGCAGCAGUAGGGAAUCUUCCGCAAUGGACGAAAGUCUGACGGAGCAACGCCGCGUGAGUGAUGAAGGCUUUCGGGUCGUAAAACUCUGUUGUUAGGGAAGAACAAGUGCUAGUUGAAUAAGCUGGCACCUUGACGGUACCUAACCAGAAAGCCACGGCUAACUACGUGCCAGCAGCCGCGGUAAUACGUAGGUGGCAAGCGUUAUCCGGAAUUAUUGGGCGUAAAGCGCGCGCAGGUGGUUUCUUAAGUCUGAUGUGAAAGCCCACGGCUCAACCGUGGAGGGUCAUUGGAAACUGGGAGACUUGAGUGC
rnacentral:rRNA from 1 species